rnacentral:rRNA from 1 species
AAGGGCACCACAAGAACGCGUGGAGCAUGUGGCUUAAUUUGACCCAACGCGGGAAAUCUUACCGGGUCCGGACACACUGAGGAUUGACAGGUUUUAGCGUUGCAGUCUCUUCGGAGACUUAGCGCAAUAAAGAUGCUAGUCCUUUCAUGAUUGUGUGAUAGGUGGUGCAUGGCCGUUCUUAGUUCGUGGAGUGAUCUGUCUGCUUAAUUGCGUUUCACACAAGGCGUUUAACGUGUAUGUUUAUAUAGCUGACGCCACUUCGGUGUUGCUGUCGCUACAUUUGAUACAUAAACUGUCCUUGCAUGCAACGAACGUGACCG